AAAAUCUGGAAUUUAAGUACAGUGGUCCCCCUCAUUAGCAGCCCCUCUCACAAGCAGCCACCCUGCAUAUAUGGCCACAUGUCUACUGCAACAACUGUU